ensembl:lncRNA
GCAACACUAAUUGCUGGUGUUUUUCUGCAUUUUUCUGAAAAUGGGUCAUGCAAAGACCCAAAAAAAGGAGAGAGGUUAUGUUUGGGAUUGUGAUUUAUUAUAAAAGAAAAAAAAAACCUCCUUUGUGUAAAGAGGUUUUUGUUUGAUUUAUAAUCAAAUAAUUUUUUAUCCACUUAAAAGUGACAUUUAUCCCAACCUAUUGAGUGGUUUUAUUUUCCUUUUUUGGACUCAUAAAAUUUGACAAAGUGAACCUGUAUCCGGAUCUGCUCUUGAGUAGUUAAUACUUUGAUUGAAUGAGGCUCUGGUCUCCCAAAAGGAGAAGGAUCCAGAGAAACUUGGCCGUCAGGAAAAACAUAACACCCCCCCUCCUUCACAAAGACGCAAGCGAGUCACAGACUGGAGCAACAGCAGAUGAUGCUGUAGCGUGCAGCCUUCCUGUCUAAGUAAACAGUGAUUCAGACGGAUGAGGAGUGGGAGGCUGUGGUUUGCUCCAGCCUGGCAGCACCAAGCCUCUCCCAGCUCCACCACAACAGGAUAUGGUCCGUGGGCCCACACUGGCCAUGGUUGCUUCAUAAUAUUGUCUUCUCCAGCUUUUACCAUUUGGUUCGCCUGGUAAUAUUCAUGCACGCUGACUACCAUGUGAGAAGCUGGACCCAUGUUUCUGGAAAAUAUAUCUCACUGUGGUGUUUUUGACCAAAGUGACAGUGAGUGAGGUUACUUUCCCUUCUCAUCUGUGUCUUAUAUAACUCUACAUACGCAAGUCUGGAUAAGUGGGCACGGAGAAGAUUAGUAAUUAGGUUUCUGUGACUCAACAGAUGGUACAGUGCAGAUUUUAAGCACAACAGUUUACUAUGUAACCACCGCAUCUUUCCAAAACAGUAAUUUUCAAACAUAUUUCAACUUUAUGCUUUGAUGGGAAGGAAGAAAAUGUCAUAACUCAGUGAUAAUUUUAUAAAGUGUUUUGUUUCUAUGCUAUGGCUUACUCAACUCAGCCAGAGCAAGAUGUCCUUCAUCUUAGUCCACAAACUUUAUAUGACUGUCUUGGCUGACCGCUGGCUUGCCAGUAACAAUUUUAUAUGCGAUGAGCUGAUAAAAUAAACAGACAACCUACUGGAGCGUUAC